rnacentral:rRNA from 1 species
UACGAAGGGAGCGAGCGUUAUUCGGAAUCACUGGGCUUAAAGCGUGCGUAGGCGGACUUAUAAGUCAGAAGUGAAAUCCCAGGGCUUAACCUUGGAAUUGCUUUUGAGACUGCAAGUCUAGAAUUCGGUAGAGGUUAGUGGAAUGUCCAGUGUAGAGGUGAAAUUCGCAGAUAUUGGACGGAACACCAGUGGCGAAGGCGACUAACUGGGCCGAUAUUGACGCUGAGGUACGAAAGCGUGGGUAGCAAACAGG